UCACAGAAGGGGGAGGGGCCAUACCAGGAUCACCAAGGUGGUUUUCCCAGGAUAAGAUUUAUACAUUGCACUCUGGAUGUGCUGACUCCUUGAUUUUUGCAAAUGCAGGAAACUUGACUGCAUAAUUUGAGGUAGUGGGGAACUGUAUUUGUGCUCUCCCUUA